UUUAAUAUGGUGAUAUAACAAGGAACCCAUGUUUCCACAUGGAAGCAACUGCACCUGCAACUAGCAACGCUAACACAAGGAUAAGCAAGCGGUAACAUAGACAAUCGGUGAUUUGCUAGGUCGAACAGGUUUAAGGUUUUCAUGGCCUUGUUGAGAGGCUGAUAUUUAACAUGUGGUAGGCAACGAGACGUAAACGGUAGAAACGGUAAAACUAGCAUGGCAAUGAUAGUAAUGGUAUCUGGGGAAAUGAUCAUCUUGCCUGAGAUCCCGCUUGGAAGAAGAAUGCCUCCGUGAACCAGACGAACCGACAUAGUCCAACGGGUCCUCACAAUCCGAC
rnacentral:lncRNA from 1 species